GGGGAGGUAGCUCAGUGGUAGAGUGCUUGCCUUGCAUGCAUGAGGCCCUGGGUUCGAUUCCCCAGCACCA
rnacentral:tRNA from 1 species